GGGGAAUAUUGCACAAUGGAGGAAACUCUGAUGCAGCGACGCCGCGUGAGGGAAGAAGGUCUUCGGAUUGUAAACCUCUGUUGUCAGGGACGAUGAUGACGGUACCUGACGAGGAAGCCACGGCUAACUACGUGCCAGCAGCCGCGGUAAAACGUAGGUGGCAAGCGUUGUCCGGAAUUACUGGGUGUAAAGGGAGCGCAGGCGGGAGAGCAAGUUGGGAGUGAAAUCUGUGGGCUCAACCCACAAAUUGCUUUCAAAACUGUUUUUCUUGAGUGGUGUAGAGGUAGGCGGAAUUCCCGGUGUAGCGGUGGAAUGCGUAGAUAUCGGGGGGAACACCAGUGGCGAAGGCGGCCUACUGGGCACUAACUGACGCUGAGGCUCGAAAGCAUGGGUAGCAAACAGGAUUAGAUACCCUGGUAGUCCAUGCCGUAAACGAUGAUUACUAGGUGUGGGAGGAUUGACCCCUUCCGUGCCGCAGUUAACACAAUAAGUAAUCCACCUGGGGAGUACGACCGCAAGGUUGAAACUCAAAGGAAUUGACGGGGGCCCGCACAAGCAGUGGAGUAUGUGGUUUAAUUCGAAGCAACGCGAAGAACCUUACCAGGUCUUGACAUCCCGUGCAUAGCUAAGAGAUUAGUGAAGUCCUUCGGGACACGGAGACAGGUGGUGCAUGGUUGUCGUCAGCUCGUGUCGUGAGAUGUUGGGUUAAGUCCCGCAACGAGCGCAACCCUUAUCGUUAGUUACUACGCAAGAGGACUCUAGCGAGACUGCCGUUGACAAAACGGAGGAAGGUGGGGAUGACGUCAAAUCAUCAUGCCCUUUAUGACCUGGGCUACACACGUACUACAAUGGCUAUUAACAGAGAGAAGCGAAGUCGCGAGGCAGAGCAAACCUCAGAAAAAUAGUCUCAGUUCGGAUCGCAGGCUGCAACCCGCCUGCGUGAAGCCGGAAUUGCUAGUAAUCGCGGAUCAGCAUGCCGCGGUGAAUACGUUCCCG
rnacentral:rRNA from 1 species